rnacentral:rRNA from 1 species
GAAUUUUGGACAAUGGGCGAAAGCCUGAUCCAGCAAUGCCGCGUGCAGGAUGAAGGCCUUCGGGUUGUAAACUGCUUUUGUACGGAACGAAAAGCUUUAGGUUAAUACCCUGGAGUCAUGACGGUACCGGAAGAAUAAGCACCGGCCAACUCAGUUGCAGCCACCGCGGUAAUACGUAGGGUGCAAGCGUUAAUCGGAAUUACUGGGCGUAAAGCGUGCGCAGGCGGUUUUGUAAGACAGAGGUGAAAUCCCCGGGCUCAACCUGGGAACUGCCUUUGUGACUGCAAGGCUAGAGUACGGCAGAGGGGGGUGGAAUUCCGCGUGUAGCAGUGAAAUGCGUAGAUAUGCGGAGGAACACCGAUGGCGAAGGCAACCCCCUGUGCCUGUACUGACGCUCAUGCACAAAAGCGUGGGGAGCAAAC